UAUUAGUUGAAAAUAAUCCAAUCCAGGUUUGAAGAGUCUAGGUGUUGUGGUUUUGGAAUUAGAGCAGUUCUAAUAUGAGCUAGAUGCAAAAAAGGGCAAAAAUGGCAUUUUAUUGAAGUUUCACAAGUCAGAAAAAGGUUUCAUGAAUCAAAAACAAUGUUCUAAAUAUUCUGCUAUUAGUUGAGAAUAAUCUAGUCCAGGUUUGAAGAGUCUAGGUGUUGUAGUUUUGGAAUUGGAGCAGUUAUACUAUGACAUAGAUCCAAAAAACAAUAGUGAAAUCAACCUUCAUUGAAGUUUCACAAAUCAGAAAAAGGUUUCACAAAUCACGAUCAUGGUUCUAAAUAUUCUGCUAUUAGAGCAGAAUAAUCCAGACCAGGUUUGAAGAGUAUGGGUGUUGUAGUUUUUAAACUAGAGUCGAUUAAAGAUGCAGAAGGUAGUGAAAAAUUAGGUGGAAUCACCCUUUAGCCAUUUCUCGAAUCGGAAGCUGGAAUCACGGAAGCUUAUGAUACAUGCGAAGCGUGAGGUACCUACCGCGGCCACCAGGGGGCCCCAAAUAGCAAUUUAUUUUUUUCUUUUUAUCCAUAAAAUAAUGAUUUCUACAUACAUUAUCAAAUAUAUAUUAUUGUAAAAACAAAUCAGUUCACAGUGAAAUUGUGUGUUUUUAAUAUUAUAAUGACACAGAAAUUAUUACUAAAAAAAGAAAAAAAAUCCGCUCUACUGAGGGGACCCCAGUGGCCCUGGGGCCUUAAGCGACUGGUUAGUUUGCUUAUGCUUUGGGCCGGCCCUAAAAAUCCUCUAACGUCCAGCCAGUUUUUCCAAAAAAUCAAAACAAAAGAAAACAAACUUCAUCCCGGCCAAAACAUCCGACUCUCCCCUCUGGGUGGAUCCUUGGAACUCUUGUUCCUUCCAGAGCCUUUCUCCAUCGUACUUUAAGUUAUUUUUUCUUAACAAAAACUCCGCUGCUGCAGCAGCUUCAAACACGCCACGCAUUACUCAUCAAUCUCAGGUGUGUCACCAUCCCAGCUAAAAACACUGGGGCUGGCUGUGCCUUCCACCCCCACCAGUGAACCGUCAAAGGUGCCAAAAUAAAAACAACAAACCAACAAUCAGUUGGUUUCAACAGUUCAUUAAAGGCGGUCAGUCACUGAUCAGGUUACAAUAACUGUGCUUGCAAAAGAAAAUCCUGUUUUUAUUGAGUGACUCUGACUCUGACUCUGAAACUUAAAUUCUUACACAAAUACUAAUGCACAUAGAUUUUAAA